ACAAGUGUGGGGGGGCAAUCUUUGCACCUAUUCUAUACACCUUCAUUACAUGGAGCCUUUCACCACCCAGGGGAAUUACAGAAAACAGGGUUAUGCCCAUUUCAUAUAUGAUGGAGUUAUUGAGUUCUUGGUCUGUUGUCAGCUGCACA